AUUAAGUUCAUAUUUCAGUUUUUAGAUACAAUGUUUUCACUCUUCGUCUCAUUUGAAUUUUUCUGUGAUUAAUAUUUUUAUUGUUACUAGAUGGUAAAAUAUGAAUAGUACUUUACGCGUGACUAACUUUUUUAAGUUUUUAUGUAAUUUUUUUAAAUAAGACGAAUGGUCAAAUAUUGGACACGCAAAUCAGAAAAUAAAGUUAUU
rnacentral:pre_miRNA from 1 species